rnacentral:rRNA from 1 species
GAUGAACGCUGGCGGCGUGCUUAACACAUGCAAGUCGAACGGGAUCCAAGGGGUGCUUGCACUUUUUGGUGAGAGUGGCGAACGGGUGAGUAACACGUGAGUAACCUGUCCUUUUCUUUGGGAUAAGCAUUCGAAAGGGUGUUUAAUACCUUAUGUUCUGUCUGCCUCGCAUGGGGUGGGUGGGAAAGGCUUUGGCCGGAUUUGGGUGGGCUCGCGGUCUAUCAGCUUGUUGGUGGGGUGAUGGCUUACCAAGGCUUUGACGGGUAGCCGGCCUGAGAGGGUGGGCGGGCAAAUUGGGAAUGAGAUACGGGCCAGACUCCUGCGGGAGGCAGCAGGGGGGGAUAGUGGAAAAUGGGCGAAAGCCUGAUGCAGCGACGGCGCGUGGGGGAGGAAGGCCUUCGGGUUGUAAACUUCUUUUGCUCUGAACAAGGCAUGCCAGUGGGUGUGUUGAGUGUAGGGGUUGAUUAGCGCCGGCUAACUACGUG